rnacentral:lncRNA from 1 species
CGACUUUGUCCCCAUGGAGCGUUGUACUGUACAAGCAUUCUUCCACCAGGCUACCAUGUGAGUGUGGGCAGUUGUCCCCAUCUCAGGGUCUCCGGAACCUGGGAGAAGUCCAUCCACCCUAGUCUGGGAGACAGCACAGGCUCCAGGAGACGAAGUGAAGGCUCUGUCCCCUGCGAGCCAUCAGAGUACUGCUAUUAGGAGUGCAGCCUCUGGCCACCAGUGACCUGGACACACACCCA